GAAAUUGUAAGUUUAGGUGGGACUCCAUACUGUGGGAUGACUUGUGCUGAGCUCUAUGAGAAGCUUCCUCAGGGCUACAGAAUGGAGCAGCCCAGGAACUGUGAUGAUGAAGUGUAUGAACUUAUGAGGCAGUGCUGGCGAGACAGACCCUACGAGCGACCACCAUUUUCGCAAAUAUCUGUCCAGCUCAAUAGGAUGCAAGAGGCA